rnacentral:tRNA from 1 species
UUGUGGUUAGCUCAGAUGGUUAGAGCUCUUCUCAUGCUUGCCAUUGCUGCAUGGGAGGGUAAUGGGUUCCGAAAGGAUCGCCGCGUCGGUUCAAAUCCGACACCACAAC